rnacentral:rRNA from 1 species
GACGAACGCUGGCGGCGUGCUUUACACAUGCAAGUCGAACGGUGAAGGUGGAGCUUGCUCCGCCGGAUCAGUGGCGAACGGGUGAGUAACACGUGGGCAACCUGCCCCUAACUUUGGGAUAACUACUCGAAAGAGUAGCUAAUACCGGAUAUGAAGUCUGUAGGCAUCUAUGGAUUUGGAAAGUUUUUCGGUUAGGGAUGGGCCCGCGGCCUAUCAGCUUGUUGGUGGGGUAGUGGCUCACCAAGGCGACGACGGGUAGCCGGCCUGAGAGGGCGACCGGCCACACUGGGACUGAGACACGGCCCAGACUCCUACGGGAGGCAGCAGUGGGGAAUAUUGCGCAAUGGGCGAAAGCCUGACGCAGCAACGCCGCGUGCGGGAUGAAGGCCUUCGGGUUGUAAACCGCUUUCAGCAGGGAAGAAGCGAAAGUGACGGUACCUGCAGAAAAAGCACCGGCUAACUACGUGCCAGCAGCCGCUGUAA